UACGUAGGGGGCAAGCGUUGUCCGGAUUUAUUGGGCGUAAAAGGCUUGUAGGUGGCCACGCCAAGUCGGAUGUGAAAUCUCCCGGCUCAACUGGGAGGGGUCAUUCGAUACUGGCGGGCUCGAGGCCGGUAGGGGGAAGUGGAAUUCCCGGUGUAGUGGUGGAAUGCGUAGAUAUCGGGAGGAACACCAGUGGUGAAGGCGGGUCUCUGGGCCGAUAUUGACGCUGAGGAGCGAAAGCGUGGGGAGCGAACAGG
rnacentral:rRNA from 1 species